AUAAUUCAAUCUGAAUUAUAAAUCUGAAAUGAGUAAACCAAUCGGAGUGUUUAAUUGUAAGCUCCGCCCCUUUUUUGCUUUCGGAUCGCGUCUCAGUUCAGAGGAGAGAUGCAGAGCCACAGAGACACCCGAUCUAACGCGAGAGUGUUUAAUUUGAUUAAAUAUGACUUCUUAGUUCAUAUAAACUGAAGAAAUCAGAACUUAACUUGCAUAUAUUCAAUGAUACAGCGUGAUUGUGUGGAUUGAGCACUUUUUGAGCUUUCAUUUUGACCUGUGUGAUAAAACCACAUGGUGCGUUGUGUUCACUGCUGUUCGCUGACGCCAUUUUGGUUGCACUUGCCUGUGAAAGACAAAAAGAGAGAGAAACACGUGAAUGGACAGGCCAGGUUUUUUCCUUUCGUAUGAACAUUACUUGAGCUGGAUUUUCCUAAUUGAUGGCGAGCCUCCCAUUUCGACUUGAUUGGAUCCCGAAUCUAGAGGAAAGGACAAUUUUCUAUUUUAAAUAUUUUUCUUCAGACAAGAGCACAUUUUUUGUUUGGAAAAAAGCUCACAGAAACUAAAACCAGAUGUAUGCAGCUUUGCCGGGCGUGCAGCACCAGCGUAAACCAGCUAAGACCACUCUUCUAAGCUUUCAGCCUGGUAAAGCUGGUUUUUCGAUCUGAACAGCUAAACGUGGACUCUAAAAACCUCUCUAAAACCAGCCUGCUACACCAGCUAAAACCAAACUGGGAGACCAGGUCAACUGGGUUAGGUCCACGUGCUCAUCUCCACGGAAGCCUUUGCAGAGAAAUGAAACAGUGACUGCAUGUUUGAUCUACAGUCGCCACCCGGUGGUGAUAAAAGUGAAUAGCAUUAAUAGAAAGUAUGACUUCAACAUGUUUUUGGUGGUAUGGUACAGUGCUUUAUAUAGAUUAAUGGUACAGUCUUCUUUAGCUUAAAGGUAAAUAUAACAGUGAAUGAAGAUAAUUCUUAAACUGUGUUUAGAUGUAGUUCAAUAAAGUUCAGAGAAUCAGUGAAGCAAGUUUGAGAGAUUUCUACAUAAAAUCUAUAAUGUAAAAAUAUAAUCUUGAUAUCUUUAAUAAGGUUACAUUUUUUUUAAUAAGGUCUAUAUUUAUAGUUGUAUUAUGUCACAUUUAACCUCCUAAGACCUGGAUGUCACAUGUGGACGUCAAUGUUUUUGUUGUUUGCACCAUAAUACUUAAUUCUGUGUAACUGGAACCUAUUAUACACAAACAUGGACAAAUACACUGGUUCAUGUUCAUAGAAAAAUAUUUGGUUAUUAUAUUAAUUGGUUCCCAAAAAUAGCUGGUAGAAAUCUAAAAAAAAAAAAGGAUUAUUUUGAUGAUGGAUUAUUAUUUAACUUAAUGUCUGUUUUUGACCGACUGCCAGUGUUUAACUUUUUGAUAUGCCUGAAGGAUUUUGGGCAAUGAAAAAACCUUUCGUAUGUAUCAUGCAUUAAAAUAUAUGACCUUUGAUGCUUUUUAAUGAUUUAAGUAAA